rnacentral:rRNA from 1 species
UACGUAGGUGGCAAGCGUUGUCCGGAUUUACUGGGCGUAAAGCGCGCGCAGGCGGUUCGGCAAGUCCGGUGUGAAAGCCCCCGGCUCACCUGGGGGAGGGCUCUGGAGACUGUCGGACUGGAGGCAGGCAGAGGCCGGUGGAAUUCCCGGUGUAGUGGUGAAAUGCGUAGAGAUCGGGAGGAACACCCGUGGCGAAGGCGGCCGGCUGGGCCUGUCCUGACGCUGAGGCGCGAAAGCGUGGGGAGCGAACCGG